UGUUUGGAGGACUAGUGGUUAGGCCUCAGCGCUGUCACCACCGCUGCCUGGGUUCGAUUCCCAGCCUGGAAA